rnacentral:rRNA from 1 species
GAUGAACGCUAGCGGCAGGCUUAACACAUGCAAGUCGAGGGGUAUAGUUCUUCGGAACUAGAGACCGGCGCACGGGUGCGUAACGCGUAUGCAAUCUACCUUUCACAGAGGGAUAGCCCAGAGAAAUUUGGAUUAAUACCUCAUAGUAUUAUAGAAUGGCAUCAUUUUAUAAUUAAAGUCACAACGGUGAAAGAUGAGCAUGCGUCCCAUUAGCUAGAUGGAAGGUAACGGCUUACCAUGGCUACGAUGGGUAGGGGUCCUGAGAGGGAGAUCCCCCACACUGGUACUGAGACACGGACCAGACUCCUACGGGNGGCAGCAGUGAGGAAUAUUGGACAAUGGGCGCAAGCCUGAUCCAGCCAUGCCGCGUGCAGGAU